CAUAUUCAGAGCAAUCUGUGAAGUCAACUUUGAAAAUCAUUAUUGUAGAUAUUGAGAAUAACAGUAACUGUAAUGAACUAAUUGAAAAGGUCCUCUGUAGGUAAAAAUUCACUGUUGUACUGUAGCUUAUGUGGUGUUGGGAAUGAUUAUUGUAUAAAAGAAUUACUAUAUUACUACUGUAAUUAUAGAUCUCAUGUGUAGUUGAAGAAAUAAAUUUUGUAUAUUAUCUUUUAAACUGAAUAGUGAACAAUGCAUUUUAAGGUGGUCUGAUUGGAAUUGUCUUCCAUAUUCAGAGCAAUCUGUGAAGUCAACUUUGAAAAUCAUUAUUGUAGAUAUUGAGAAUAACAGUAACUGUAAUGAACUAAUUGAAAAGGUCCUCUGUAGGUAAAAAUUCACUGUUGUACUGUAGCUUAUGUGGUGUUGGGAAUGAUUAUUGUAUAAAAGAUUUACUAUAUUACUACUGUAAUUAUAGAUCUCAUGUGUAGUUGAAGAAAUAAAUUUUGUAUAUUAUCUUUUAAACUGAAUAGUGAACAAUGCAUUUUAAGGUGGUCUGAUUGGAAUUGUCUUCCAUAUUCAGAGCAAUCUGUGAAGUCAACUUUGAAAAUCAUUAUUGUAGAUAUUGAGAAUAACAGUAACUGUAAUGAACUAAUUGAAAAGGUCCUCUGUAGGUAAAAAUUCACUGUUGUACUGUAGCUUAUGUGGUGUUGGGAAUGAUUAUUGUAUAAAAGAUUUACUAUAUUACUACUGUAAUUAUAGAUCUCAUGUGAAGUUGAAGAAAUAAAUUUUGUAUGCUAACUUUUA